AGAUCGGUAGCCGGCCUGAGAGGGCACACGGCCACACUGGCACUGAAACACGGGCCAGACUCCUACGGGAGGCAGCAGUGGGGAAUCUUGCACAAUGGGGGAAACCCUGAUGCAGCGACGCCGCGUGAGCGAUGAAGCCCUUCGGGGUGUAAAGCUCUUUCGGCAGGGAAGAUUAUGACGGUACCUGCAGAAGCAGCUGCGGCUAACUACGUGCCAGCAGCCGCGGUAAUACGUAGGCAGCAAGCGUUGUUCGGAGUUACUGGGCGUAAAGGGUGUGUAGGCGGUUGCUUAAGUUUGGUGUGAAAUCUCCCGGCUUAACCGGGAGGGUGCGCCGAAUACUGAGUGACUAGAGUGCGGGAGAGGAAAGUGGAAUUCCUGGUGUAGCGGUGAAAUGCGUAGAUAUCAGGAGGAACACCGGUGGUGUAGACGGCUUUCUGGACCGUAACUGACGCUGAAACACGAAAGCGUGGGUAGCAAACAGGAUUAGAUACCCUGGUAGUCCACGCCCUAAACGAUGCACAUUUGGUGUGGGUCAUUCAGUUGAUCCGUGCCGGAGCUAACGCGUUAAAUGUGCCGCCUGGGGAGUACAGUCGCAAGGCUG
rnacentral:rRNA from 1 species